UAUACACCUAGCGGCGGACGGGUGAGUAACACGUGGGUAACCUGCCUCAGAGAGGGGAAUAGCCUUCCGAAAGGAAGAUUAAUACCGCAUAAUAUACGCAUUUAGCAUUAUGAGCGUAUCAAAGGAGAAAUCCGCUUUGAGAUGGGCCCGCGGCGCAUUAGCUAGUUGGAGAGGUAACGGCUCACCAAGGCGACGAUGCGUAGCCGACCUGAGAGGGUGAUCGGCCACAUUGGAACUGAGACACGGCCCAGACUCCUACGGGAGGCAGCAGUGGGGAAUUUUGGACAAUGGGCGCAAGCCUGAUCCAGCAAUGCCGCGUGCAGGAAGAAGGCCUUCGGGUUGUAAACUGCUUUUGUCAGGGAAGAAAUCUUCUGGGCUAAUACCCCGGGAGGAUGACGGUACCUGAAGAAU
rnacentral:rRNA from 1 species